GACGAACGCUGGCGGCGUGCCUAAUACAUGCAAGUCGAACGCUUCUUUCCUCCCGAGUGCUUGCACUCAAUUGGAAAGAGGAGUGGCGGACGGGUGAGUAACACGUGGGUAACCUACCCAUCAGAGGGGGAUAACACUUGGAAACAGGUGCUAAUACCGCAUAACAGUUUAUGCCGCAUGGCAUAAGAGUGAAAGGCGCUUUCGGGUGUCGCUGAUGGAUGGACCCGCGGUGCAUUAGCUAGUUGGUGAGGUAACGGCUCACCAAGGCCACGAUGCAUAGCCGACCUGAGAGGGUGAUCGGCCACACUGGGACUGAGACACGGCCCAGACUCCUACGGGAGGCAGCAGUAGGGAAUCUUCGGCAAUGGACGAAAGUCUGACCGAGCAACGCCGCGUGAGUGAAGAAGGUUUUCGGAUCAUAAAACUCUGUUGUUAGAGAAGAACAAGGACGUUAGUAACUGAACGUCCCCUGACGGUAUCUAACCAGAAAGCCACGGCUAACUACGUG
rnacentral:rRNA from 1 species